rnacentral:tRNA from 1 species
AGAAAAAUAAGCUAAUUUACAAGCUUUUGGAUUCAUAAUUCAAAUAUAGAUCUCAAUCUUUUUUCUA